rnacentral:snRNA from 1 species
AUCUUUGUGCUUGGGGCAAUACGACAGUGUGUGAAGCUUUGCUGAUGUGCCGUGAUUGCUAGUUGAAAACUACUCCAAACCCCUGACUACAACAGCACAACGCGCAAAUGUACUGUAUCAAGAUAAAUUG